rnacentral:rRNA from 1 species
GACGAACGCUGGCGGCGUGCUUAACACAUGCAAGUCGAACGGGCCCGCUCUCUUUUUUGGGGGUGGGUUGAGUGGCGAACGGGUGAGUAUCACGUGAGUAACCUGCCCCCUGCUCCUGGAUAACUGCUUGAAAGGGCGGCUAAUACGGGGUGUGCCGGCUGGUCCGCAUGGGCCUGGUCGGGAUAGUUUCAUCUUCGGGUGUUUCGGUGGGGGAUGGGCUCGCGGCCUAUCAGCUUGUUGGUGGGGUGAUGGCCCACCAAGGCGGUGACGGGUAGCCGGCCUGAGAGGGUGGGCGGCCAAACUGGGACUGAGACACGGCCCAGACUCCUGCGGGAGGCAGCAGUGGGGGGUAUUGCACAAGGGGCGGAAGCCUGAUGCAGCGACGUCGCGUGAGGGAUGGAGGCCUUCGGGUUGUGAACCUCUUUCUCCGGUGGUGAAGGCCCUGUCCGUUGCGGCGGGGUUGACGGUAGCCGGGUAUGAAGCGCCGGCUAACUACGUG